ACUCUAGUCUAGACAAAGUAACAUUAGCAGUAGUUUUUAUUCCGACAUCUCUUCGCCCCUGUGUUUAUUUGUAUUCACUUCACUCCGCAUUUAUUAAAGCGCUUAGGAUUUUUUCACUGAUGGAAGUCAGCUGUUCACUCUAUGACAGCUGUCAAAUCUGUCAUAUUUCAAAGGCUAACCUCAAAACGCACAGUUCAUGAGUUCAAUUAUUUUUAUUUUAUUUAGUAAAUCAAUCAAUUCAAUUUAACAUAAGUAGUGGUUGUGGCUAACAAUGAAAGCUAGAUACUUAGCAUUCUUUUCGUACAUAGGAACCAGAUUUAGAUCUUCAGAAAAAUUAAGGGUUAAAGGCAAAAGUCAAUAUCCUGAUCCUGAUAGUGUGCAAGGAAUGAUAGAAAUGGGGCUAUAUAAACUGAAGUCUUUGAACUAUCCGCAAAUUACCCUGUCUAGCCGGUAAGCUUGUCCCCUCACAGAUGGUGGAGUGCAUGCGCUGUGUUCCAGUGCCCACUUUGAUUUGGACAGAUAUGGCGCCAAAAUUUAUGAUCCGCCCCACAUUUGCUAUGUCUUAAACAAGUACUUUUACAACACAAAUAGUAGCAUAUUUGUCAAGAAGUGCUUGAGGGUUCCUGAUGAUUUUAAUGCCAGAUUUAAAGCAUUAUCUAGAACAUAUUUGUAUAGACUUGCCGUACUGAAAAAAGAUAAAGUUCUACCAGAACACUCUUGCAUAGCAUCACACAUACCUAUUGAAGAAUGGAAGAGGUGCCAUUUCACAAGGCUAUCCAACUUUGACAUUGAGAAGCUGAAAGAAGGCGCGAAGUAUUUAGUGGGGUACCACGACUUCACCACCUUCAAGAAGUUCGACAAGCUGAAGCAGAACAAGUCGAACCGGCGCGAGUUGUAUUCCGUCGCGGUGCGGCCCGGCGCGCCGCUCGUGACGUCACACUCGCAAGCGGAGGAGUCCAUCUUUGAUCAUUGGGAGGUGGAGUUCAGGGGGCGCGCGUUUGUUCACAACCAGAUCCGACGGAUGAUGGGAACACUCAUCAGUUGUGCAAUCGGUAAAUUACCUCCUGAAGAGAUAAAGGUAAUGUUACAAGUGCCUUCCAAGCAUUCCUGGCACACAUUCAUUCCCAGCUGUCCCCCAGAUGGACUUUACUUGUGCAAAGUGGAGUACAAUCCUCAGGACCUUGUAUACCACGACGACGCGGCACUAACUGCAGAAAAACAAGAAGACACCGACUUAAGUGACAGUGAAUAAACAUGAGUUUCCUCAGUGAAUUGACGAAACAGAAAAAUAAACUAAAAGAAACAAAAACAGUGGUGACUAAAGUGGACGGACAGAGGUUUGUGGAGAGAGGUGGAAAUGUCGAAAAACUCGAAUCGACUUACGGUUUUGUCGUCGAUACAAAACCGGACAAUGUUCCGGUUAUGAUUGUUGAUCAUCUGUACAUAGGUUCACAAGAUUGUACAGCAAGCAAUGUGUUAGAAAAAUAUGAUAUUAAAUGUGUGCUAAGUCUAGGAAUAGAUGGGUAUGUUGAUGUAGAGCAUAAGUUUGUGGUUUGUUUAGAUUUGCCUGAAACAGAUAUAAAACCUGUACUCUGUGACAGUUUGCCAUUCAUCCACAAAGCUGUGGAGUCGGGCGUCAAUGUGUUGGUCCACUGCAACGCGGGAGUGUCUCGCACUUCUACGAUCGCUAUAGCAUAUUUAAUGCAUUACAAAGGUAUGCAAUAUGAAGAUGCUUACAAUUUAGUUAAAGGGAAAAGACCUGCCGUGCAACCCAAUGCAGGUUUCAAACGGCAGUUGAUGCUCAUGAGUCCAGGCUAUAUAAUAUGAGAAUAUGUAAAUAAAAAUAAAACCAUUGAAUACAAACAGAACUAGUUAUUUAUUGUAAUAAAUAAGUAAAUGUUUAAGUACAAGAGCCAAACAUUUUGUAUAGGUAAUAAAAGCAGGAUUGUGUCGCUUUACACCCAAUUACAAUGGAAGCACUAAUUCGUUAAUUAGGUACAAUAUGUAUUAUUAUGUAGCACCAAGUUCAUAAGUUUCAGAAGCUAAAGCUAUACUUAAACUUAAUUAACAUUGUAUAAAAUUUUAUAAAUAUCUACUACAUUAGAAAGUUCCAUAACCCUUGAUUCUGAACAGAUAUAGUAAAGUAAUUUAUGUAAAUGAAAAUAAUACAACUUAUUUUUACUUAAUAUUGAAUUCUCCUUUUCCAUUGCCAUAUUCAGUGCCAGUUUAAAAAAAAGUCAUUAUAGAUCUACAGUUUUAAAAUGGGAAAAACUUUUAUAAAAACUUUUUACAUUUAAUUCCCUUAAUUAGAUAUGAGUAGUAUAAUAUAACCAAAUAUACAAAUAGUAUUCAAUUGACAACAUUUUAAUUCAUAAAUACUGAUUGAAUAAUAUAGCAAAAAAAUAUUCGUAAGUAUCAAACAUACGCAAAAGAUCUUGAGACAACUUUACAAUAAUAAUGUCUUGGAUUUAAACUAAUAAUAAUGUAUUUAAUUCAAUAAGCAGUUUCGAUUGCUUAAGUUUGUGGUAUAUCUUAUUUAUUUUACAUAACUAACUAUUUAGCUUAGGGACUGAGCAAUAUUAAGCACCUUAUAGCAUAAGUGUUAUAAGUACGAGUCGCGCUACAAAUUCGCACCAUUGCAGAUAAUAUGUAGGUACAACCAGCUUAAAAAAGGGAUUGGAAAAUAAUGUUGAUCUCCAUCAUUUUAAUCAGCUUUGCUUAUACAUUUUGUCACAAUAGUGUGAUUUGCAGCGCACACAAUCUAAGAAUUACAAUGUAUUAAUAAUUCAAUGAACACUUUAUAUUUGGUGAUGAUGACAGUCAGGCUUGAACACUGGUAUGUAGGUAUGCAAAACAAAUCAGGCAGGUACACUGUUACUAUUAUCAGACUCAUCAAGAAAAUCAUCGAAUAUACAUAACCCAAUACACUAUGCAAUGAAAACCAUAACCGGCCGGUUUACGUCUACAAAAUUAAACCUUAUUGUGUUGGAAAUAGAGCCACUAAUUAAAUUAUUAUGUAUACACAUUUAUAAAUGGAUACCUAAAAUUCAUUGAAAAAAAAGCGUCUUCGUCUACGAAAAGCAUAUACUAAGCACACGAGUGUAUUACAAAAAUUGUGCUUAUUGCAUUAUGAAAAUGGCAAGUGUAUCUGAUUUACGGCAGCAUUCAUAGACAUCGCCUAAACAAAACUUAGCACUAAAAAUAAUCGAACAUAAUGCUCGGAAAGCUAACCCUAAUGUCAUUCUUGUUUGUUACAACCAUUAAAUGUAUUUUGAGACCAUAAUAAUUUCAUUAUUAUCGAGCCAACUGUCUCACAGGACGGGAAUGUCAAUUUUGAAUCACAAACGUGGUCUCACGUGCACACGCGUCACUAGUCUACGAGCUAUGACCAGCGAUCAGUCUUCGACAACAUCUCUUUUAAUCUCAAAUGGAUAAAAUACGAGUAUGUCAAUUGUAAACAUUGUAAUGAAAAAUAAGGAAUAAGUAGUUCAAUAAACAGACUAUGAAUAUCUGAUUUAAAUCGAACACACUAACUUUUCUCUUCGAAAUUCAGCAACAAAAACAUUCAAGUAUCAAGAAAUUGUCCUUAUUUCAAAAAUCAUUAACCAAGAUUACAAAACUUAACAAUAAAAAUCAUACAUUUUACUUCUUAAAACGAUAAAAUUGUAUUAACAUCAUUGUACUUUAAGUAACCCUCAUUAACAAACACUAAUUUAUAAGGCACAUUUAACUAAAUUACUGUUACAUCGGCUACAAAAAAGUACGUCGAAAAUGUUAAAAUAGAAUCGAUUUAUUGUUUCCACUAAACAUGGGGGCAUCAUAAUGGUUGGAUAAAAUCAAAAA